UACGUAGGGUCCGAGCGUUGUCCGGAGUUACUGGGCGUAAAGGGCGCGCAGGCGGCGGUGCUGGCCCGGCGUGAAAGCCCCCGGCUCAACCGGGGGAGGGUCGUCGGGGACCGCACCGCUUGAGGGCGGUAGGGGCUGGUGGAAUGCCUGGUGUAGUGGUGAAAUGCGUAGAGAUCAGGCGGAACACCCGUGGCGAAGGCGGCCAGCUGGGCCGGACC
rnacentral:rRNA from 1 species